GACAUGCCCGUAAAGAUGCAGCUGCAGGCCAGGUCCUGCGCCGCCCAAGCCCUCGACCUCUUUGAUGUCCUCGAUUGCAAAAGCAUCGCCGGCGCCACUCACAUCAAAAAGGAGUUUAACAUGAGGCAUGGGCCCGGAUGGCAUUGCGUGGUGGGUUCCAACUUCGGCUGCUUCUUCACCCACAGGCGAGGCACCUUCAUCUACUUCUGCCUCGAGACACUCUUCUUCCUCAUCUUCAAAGCUGCUGCUCUUACUCCUGUUUAGCCCGCCUCUGCCACUCUCUGCUUCCAUCUUAUAAGGCUGAUGCUGCCUAGCCUCAGGUUCUUUCCUCUUUUUGUGCCCAAUAUACAUUUCUUUUCCUUCUGAGUUUCCCAUCCUUGGCUAGGAUUUUGCGUUUCAAGCGAAAAACUUCCUCGAUGUACAAAACAAAAGUUCAAUUGUAAGCAAUGAAGUAGGAUAAAUCUUCCAUCUGCUUCA